GAGACUAAUUUUUGUGUAGAUACCCAUAAAGAGUAACCUUAGUUAAUGAUGGGCUAACUAAGAUUACAUGCAUGAGACUCUUGGGUUGCAUGGUUAGGUUACAUGUGACCUUUGAUGUUACAUGCUUAUCAAUAGGGGGGUUAUGGUUUCCAUUUGAUGCAAGAACAUUUUCUCUUCUUUCUCCCAUUGCAAGAGAGAGCAAAACCUUUGUCUUGCACAUCAAGUGGAAAAUCCAACCCCGGACGAACUCCAAGCCGGAUCAAGGAGCUUCCACCUAUGGAUUCAGGUACGCUUCUGCUUAUGUUAUAGUUCCAAAUAAUUCGAUAUGAAGGCUACAGUUUUAUAGUCGGAUUUAUUCCAACAAAGAGCUCAUACAUGCCAUCCUUUGGACCCUUUAUCUGCUGCUGAAAUCUCUGUGGCUGUGGCGACCGUCAGAGCUGCCGGUAAAACACCCGAGGUUCUUAAUCACUAUCUUUUUUGUCAUCCAUUUUUGCGUUGAACAAUUGAACAAGUAUUAGUGGAACAACAGG
rnacentral:lncRNA from 1 species